rnacentral:lncRNA from 1 species
GACCUGCGACUGGGCUGAGUUCAGGCAGUUCUUUUGCUUUAGUUAUUACUACUAAAACUUUGUAAAAUAUAUUUAGUUAUUGCAAAUGUAUUAGCGAGGGGGACUUUGAAAAGGAGGAACUCAAAGUUCAGCUAAUUAGGAGAAUCAAUAUAUGGUGACACUUCCUUCUUUCCUCUCCUCCCUCCAAGUUGAGCUGUUACCAAUGGAGUCAGUUAGUCUAGACUAAAGGUCUUCUUUUAGUGAUUGGAAACUCACUUGAACUGUAGGUGGGAAGGAAACUGUAUCCCUACACACAAGGAAGAAAGAAAACGGAAUCUGAAAUCAUUUUCCUGAUACUUCACUAAAGGUUCGAGAAAAUCUCAACAAUCGUUAGGCAUCAGAGAGAUGACUUAUCUAUAAAAUCUGAACCAGAACCAGACAGAACAUUUGGGGGCUCGUCCUGGGAUUCCAAAGGUUUGGACCACACAGUGGUAAAGGUACUUGAAUCCCUGAAGGGAAUCUGAGUGUGUUUGUAUGUAUGAAUGUGUAUGGGGAAGGGAGAGUCUGGAUCACGACAUACAGCUAAGUGGCUGACCUCUGGUCAC